rnacentral:rRNA from 1 species
CAAUAGCGUAUAUUAAAGUUGUUGCAGUUAAAAAGCUCGUAGUUGGAUUUCUGGUAGGAGUGACCGUUCCGAACUUGAUUGUUCGUGUAUUGUGUUUUCUUCAGCCAUCCUUGUGGAGAACUUUUCUUGCAUUAAUUUGUAGGGAUUGGGACCCGCAUCGUUUACUGUGAAAAAAUUAGAGUGUUUAAAGCAGGCAAUCGCUUGAAUACAUUAGCAUGGAAUAAUAAGAUAGGACUUUGGUACUAUUUUGUUGGUUUGCAUACCAAAUUAAUGAUCAACAGGAACAGUUUGAGGAUAUUCGUAUGAACAUGCCAGAGGUGAAAUUCUUGGAUUUUGAUCAGACGAACUACUGCGAAAGCAUUUAUCAAGGAUGUUUUCAUUAA